rnacentral:rRNA from 1 species
AGAGUUUGAUCCUGGCUCAGAACGUACGCUGGCGGCACGCCUAACACAUGCAAGUCGAACGAAGUAGCAAUACUUAGUGGCAGACGGGUGAGUAACAUGUGGGUAUCUACCCUUUGGCCUGGAAUAACACGAGGAAACUUGUGCUAAUACCGGAUAAGUCUUUACGGAGAAAGCUUUAUGCACCAUUGGAUGAGCCCGCACUUGAUUAGUUUGUUGGUAGGGUAAUGGCCUACCAAGACUAUGAUCAAUAGCUGAUUUGAGAGGAUGAUCAGCCACAUUGGGACUGAGACACGGCCCAAACUCCUACGGGAGGCAGCAGUGGGGAAUCUUGCACAAUGGAGGAAACUCUGAUGCAGCGAUGCCGCGUGAGUGAAGAAGGCCUUUGGGUUGUAAAGCUCUUUCGUCGGGGAAGAAAAUGACUGUACCCGAAUAAGAAGGUCCGGCUAACUUCGUGCCAGCAGCCGCGGUAAUACGAAGGGACCUAGCGUAGUUCGGAAUUACUGGGCUUAAAGAGUUCGUAGGUGGUUGAAAAAGUUGGUGGUGAAAUCCCAGAGCUUAACUCUGGAACUGCCAUCAAAACUUUUCAGCUAGAGUAUGAUAGAGGAAAGCAGAAUUUCUAGUGUAGAGGUGAAAUUCGUAGAUAUUAGAAAGAAUACCAAUUGCGAAGGCAGCUUUCUGGAUCAUUACUGACACUGAGGAACGAAAGCAUGGGUAGCGAAGAGGAUUAGAUACCCUCGUAGUCCAUGCCGUAAACGAUGUGUGUUAGACGUUGGAAAUUUAUUUUCAGUGUCGCAGGGAAACCGAUAAACACACCGCCUGGGGAGUACGACCGCAAGGUUA